UACGGAGGGUGCAAGCGUUAUCCGGAUUCACUGGGUUUAAAGGGUGCGUAGGUGGAUUGGUAAGUCAGUGGUGAAAUCUCCAGGCUUAACUUGGAAACUGCCAUUGAUACUAUCAGUCUUGAAUACCGUGGAGGUCAGCGGAAUAUGUCAUGUAGCGGUGAAAUGCUUAGAUAUGACAUAGAACACCAAUUGCGAAGGCAGCUGGCUACACGAAUAUUGACACUGAGGCACGAAAGCGUGGGGAUCAAACAGG
rnacentral:rRNA from 1 species